GAUAAAAUCUCUUGCAUAAGAGCCGACUAAGACAUUGUCAUUGGAGCAGAAGACAACAACGAGGUGUCCAGAAACUCUGUGAGUGGAAUUACAUUGGAUCAGUUUCAAUUGGUUAAAGCCCAAAGAAAUGCUUUAUAAGAAAGGCAUUCUAGAAGUCAUAUUUCAGAAUCAGAGCAUCUAUGAGGGAAAAUGUAUAAUAUUAAUCAAGACCUUGGAAGAAAGAAGCUUAUCUGUCAAACAUGAAGACAGUAUGUGUUCUCAAGGUGGGUCUAACCAAUGUCUGUUCCAACAGACUGAAUACAACUCCUGAACUGUGCACAGAAGGGCACCAGCAACUCAGAAAUUUCCCUGUUUUCAUUUCCUGUCAGGGGCUGUAAAAACAGGAAGUCCUAAAGACAUGGUGGGCUAAAAUACAUAGCCAGCAAGCUGGGUUUGGUUUGGCAGUCACAAGGACUGCAUUCCUGGCUCAAGACUCAUUCCAGCCCAAGAACAAGUAUAGUUCAGUCACACUUACCUCCACU